rnacentral:tRNA from 1 species
GGCGGUGAGCGGAUUCUGAAAUUGUGCCCUUCAAAUCCGGAGUGGGGGGCUAGUACCCUCCCAGGUGGGUUCGAUUCCCAUGCACUUCCGCCA